rnacentral:rRNA from 1 species
UAGGGAAUAUUAGUAAUGGGCGAAAGCCUGAACUAGCAACGCCGCGCGUGCGAAGAAGGCCUUCGGGUUGUAAAGCACUUUUUCAGAGGAUGAGGAAGGACGGUACUCUCAGAAUAAGUCUCGGCUAACUACGUGCCAGCAGCCGCGGUAACACGUAUGAGGCGAACGUUAUCCGGAUUUACUGGGCGUAAAGCGCGUGUAGGUGGUUUGGUAAGUAGAGCGUGAAAGCUCCUGGCUCAACUGGGAGAGGACGUUCUAAACUGCCGGGCUAGAGGAUGAUAGAGAGAGGUAGAAUUCCGGGUGUAGAGGAAGAAUACGCAAAUAUCCAGAGGAACUCCAGUAGCGAAGGCGACCGCCUGGACCAUACCUGACACUCAGACGCGAAAGCUAGGGUAGCA